UACGUAGGGUGCGAGCGUUGUCCGGAAUUACUGGGCGUAAAGAGCUCGUAGGUGGUUUGUCGCGUUGUUCGUGAAAUCUCACGGCUUAACUGUGAGCGUGCGGGCGAUACGGGCAGACUGGAGUACUGCAGGGGAGACUGGAAUUCCUGGUGUAGCGGUGGAAUGCGCAGAUAUCAGGAGGAACACCGGUGGCGAAGGCGGCUAUCUGGACAGAAACUGACGCUGAGGCGCGAAAGCUAGGGGAGCAAACAGG
rnacentral:rRNA from 1 species